UAUACACCCCAGCAUAGGGAAAAG
rnacentral:misc_RNA from 1 species